CGCCAUCCCAGUUCGGAUCGCAGGCUGCAACCCGCCUGCGUGAAGUUGGAAUCGCUAGUAAUCGCGGAUCAGCAUGCCGCGGUGAAUACGUUCCCGGGCCUUGUACACACCGCCCGUCACACCAUGAGAGUCGGGAACACCCGAAGUCCGUAGCCUAACCGCAAGGGGGGCGCGGCCGAAGGUGGGUUCGAUAAUUGGGGUGAAGUCGUAACAAGGUACC
rnacentral:rRNA from 1 species